rnacentral:tRNA from 5 species
GGGCCGUUAGCUCAAUUGGCAGAGCAACUGACUCUUAAUCAGUAGGUUGAAGGUUCGAUUCCUUCACGGCCCACCA